rnacentral:rRNA from 1 species
GAUGAACGCUGACAGAAUGCUUAACACAUGCAAGUCGACUCGAGUCUUCGGACUUGGGUGGCGCACGGGUGAGUAACGCGUAAAGAACUUGCCUCUUAGACCGGGACAACAUCUGGAAACGGAUGCUAAUACCGGAUAUUAUGGUUUUUUCGCAUGGAGGAAUCAUGAAAGCUAGAUGCGCUAAGAGAGAGCUUUGCGUCCCAUUAGCUAGUUGGUGAGGUAACGGCCCACCAAGGCAAUGAUGGGUAGCCGGCCUGAGAGGGUGAACGGCCACAAGGGGACUGAGACACGGCCCUUACUCCUACGGGAGGCAGCAGUGGGGAAUAUUGGACAAUGGACCACAAGUCUGAUCCAGCAAUUCUGUGUGCACGAUGACGUUUUUCGGAAUGUAAAGUGCUUUCAGUCGGGAAGAAGUCAGUGACGGUACCGACAGAAGAAGCGACGGUUAAAUACGUGCCAGCAGCCGCGGUAAUACGUAUGUCGCAAGCGUUAUCCGGAUUUAUUGGGCGUAAAGCGCGUCUAGGCGGCAAGGAAAGUCUGAUGUGAAAAUGCGGAGCUCAACUCCGUAUGGCGUUGGAAACUGCCUUACUAGAGUACUGGAGAGGUAGGCGGAACUACAAGUGUAGAGGUGAAAUUCGUAGAUAUUUGUAGGAAUGCCGAUGGGGAAGCCAGCCUACUGGACAGAUACU